CGCGGCGGCGCGGGAGAGGAGCUGUGGGGCGCCCGGUGAUGCCUGAGGGGUUUCCCGCCCUCCCGGGGGCGCACGGGCGUCAGGGGGCACUCGGGCAGCUCUGGUAUCUCUAAGGCUGCUAAACCGGCAGAAACAGCCCCGCCUUAGUGACCCGAAUUAAUCUAAUAAAUUUGUAUUUGACCUUAAUAUUAGUUUAGGGAAAGUGCGGUAUUUGCAUAAUCGCUCAUUGAGCUCGGUGUUAAUGACUGUGUCUGAAGUGUCCCGCUAAUGAGGUAACUGCCUGACGGCUACAAGAAGGGAGCGGGAGGAAAACAGGUGUAAAAUUAAUCAGGGUAAGAGCACAGGCGACAUCAAAGCUUCCUCCCUCUGCCAACACGAACUGCCUCAGGUUUGGGGCUUGUUACUCCUGAUUCACCUCAAGCUUGUGACUGCAGUUAACAAAUAACGUUUUUGAAGCAUGUGAUGAAGAUAACAAAGGCUGUUUAAGCAGAGAAGACUUGAAAGUUGCUGUAGUGAUGUUUGGUUAUAAACCCUCAAAGGUCUAUUAUUUGGAAAGUUUUUAAAUCUCAUGAGUGAGAAGAAGGAUGCACAGUUAUACAGUAAUGAAACAAGGCAAAGUUUUAUAACUUUUGAUGUGCAAGAUGGAGGAUUUUCUACUUUUGAGGACUUCAAGAGAGCCUGCAAUUCUUUUUCUCCUAAGCUGUCUGAAAAAAUCAUAGUUGAAGCCUUCAGGGUGGAUUAGAAGAACUUUUUCUCCAAGCUGCCAAGUCACCUUACAGACUGCAAUUGAUACCCUUCAGAAUCCACGGAGUUGCUGGGAAUGUUGAAGCACAGAGUAGAUGAAACGGCUUGGCUGGUGUCACACAUGGAACGAAUAGAAACACCAGUAACUGAACACAGGCCACCAGUUCUAGACCAUCUGUCUGCCAGCCAUAUUUCUUCUUCAUGAUUCUGUCUGUGAUUGGUUAUUAAAUUCAUAUAUCAGUUUUUUAAGUGGAAUGUCACA